CCUACAUGGAGCAAUUGCACGGGAAACUUUCUCAUCACUUUCCUCACCUGUCCUAGUUCUGGUCACGAGAAGCAGUGAGGACCUCUUCUACAAGCUCAUUACUACAUUUCAAGGUCUUCAUGUAUUUUGUCCAGAUGACAUCCCAGUGCACUUGAUUCAAUGUAAUCCCCAGAAAUCAUGGAGACAUAGAGGCCUGGGACAGCAGUGCUAUUAUUGUUCACUAACAGUGCUUGAGAGAAUACAAAGUACUGGGACAGAAGCACCCUAAACCUACACACAGUACUGUCUUUUCACUGAAAGCUUGUCUUAAUUUUCUCAUUGAAGAUAUCUCAAAACCUCAAAUAAAUAAAUUUAUAUCAACAACUUGCA